rnacentral:rRNA from 1 species
GACGAACGCUGGCGGCGUGCUUAACACAUGCAAGUCGAACGGAAAGGCCCUGCUUUUGUGGGGUGCUCGAGUGGCGAACGGGUGAGUAACACGUGAGUAACCUGCCCUUGACUUUGGGAUAACUUCAGGAAACUGGGGCUAAUACCGGAUAGGAGCUCCUGCUGCAUGGUGGGGGUUGGAAAGUUUCGGCGGUUGGGGAUGGACUCGCGGCUUAUCAGCUUGUUGGUGGGGUAGUGGCGUACCAAGGCUUUGACGGGUAGCCGGCCUGAGAGGGUGGCCGGCCACAUUGGGACUGCGAUACGGCCCAGUCUCCUACGGGAGGCAGCAGUGGGGAAUAUUGCACAAUGAGCGGGAGCCUGAUGCAGCAACGCCGCGUGCGGGAUGACGGCCUUCGGGUUGUAAACCGCUUUCGCCUGUGACGAAGCGUGAGUGACGGUAAUGAAUAAAGAAGCACCGGCUAACUACGUG